GCUGCCGUGGCACAGUAGGUAGCGCGCCACAUUGGUAGUGUGGAGGUCACGGGUUCGACUCCCGUCGGUAGCU
rfam:Clostridium sp. SY8519 DNA, complete genome.